rnacentral:rRNA from 1 species
AUGACGAAUGAAGUGGAUCAACCUCUUUUUGGCUCGGGCCAAACACUUUUUCUCGCUGGUAGAGCUUUCUAAAAAAAAAAGCGAUGCGAGAGCGUAUUCUCUUAUCUAAGCUUCCGCCGAGGGCGUCCUUGGGGUGAUCUCGUAGUUCCUACGGGGUGGAGACAAUGGGGUACCAUCUUUUUGCAGUGGGGUUGA